AGAGUUUGAUCCUGGCUCAGAACGAACGCUGGCGGCAGGCCUAACACAUGCAAGUCGAACGAGAAGCCACCUUCGGGUGGUGGACAGUGGCAGACGGGUGAGUAACGCGUGGGAACGUGCCUUUCGGUUCGGGACAACCCAGGGAAACUUGGGCUAAUACCGGAUACGCCCUUCGGGGGAAAGAUUCAUUGCCGAAAGAUCGGCCCGCGUCGGAUUAGCUAGUUGGUGGGGUAAUGGCCUACCAAGGCGACGAUCCGUAGCUGGUCUGAGAGGAUGACCAGCCACACUGGGACUGAGACACGGCCCAGACUCCUACGGGAGGCAGCAGUGGGGAAUAUUGGACAAUGGGCGAAAGCCUGAUCCAGCCAUGCCGCGUGGGGGAUGAAGGCCCUCGGGUUGUAAACCCCUUUCGGCAGGGAAGAAGCGAAAGUGACGGUACCUGCAGAAGAAGCCCCGGCCAACUACGUGCCAGCAGCCGCGGUAAGACGUAGGGGGCGAGCGUUGUCCGGAUUUAUUGGGCGUAAAGCGCGCGCAGGCGGCCCGGAAAGUCGGAUGUGAAAACCCGGGGCUCAACCCCGGGCCUGCGUCCGAUACUCCCGGGCUCGAGGCAGGCAGGGGAGAGUGGAAUUCCCGGUGUAGCGGUGAAAUGCGCAGAUAUCGGGAGGAACACCGGUGGCGAAGGCGGCUCUCUGGGCCUGUCCUGACGCUCAGGCGCGAAAGCUAGGGGAGCAAACAGGAUUAGAUACCCUGGUAGUCCUAGCUGUAAACGUUGGGUGCUAGGUGUGGGGCGGCGUUUGACCCGCUCCGUGCCGUAGCUAACGCAUUAAGCACCCCGCCUGGGGAGUACGGCCGCAAGGCUAAAACUCAAAGGAAUUGACGG
rnacentral:rRNA from 1 species